rnacentral:rRNA from 1 species
GUGUCAGCAGCCGCGGUAAUACGUAGGUGGCGAGCGUUGUCCGGAUUUACUGGGCGUAAAGCGCGCGCAGGCGGCUGGCCAAGUCCGAUGUGAAAUCUUCCGGCUUAACUGGAAAACGGCAUCGGAUACUGGUCGGCUGGAAGGUGGGAGAGGGUAGCGGAAUUCCCGGUGUAGUGGUGAAAUGCGUAGAUAUCGGGAGGAACACCAGUGGCGAAAGCGGCUACCUGGCCCACUCUUGACGCUGAGGCGCGAAAGCUAGGGGAGCAAACGGGAUUAGAUACCCCUGUAGUCC